UACGUAGGGGGCAAGCGUUGUCCGGAUUUAUUGGGCGUAAAGAGCGUGUAGGCGGCCAUACAGGUCCGUUGUGAAAACUGGAGGCUUAACCUCCAGACGUCGAUGGAAACCGUAUGGCUAGAGUCCGGAAGAGGAGAGUGGAAUUCCUGGUGUAGCGGUGAAAUGCGUAGAUAUCAGGAAGAACACCAGUGGCGUAGGCGACUAACUGGGCCGUAACUGACGCUGAGGAACGAAAGCCAGGGGAGCGAAUGGG
rnacentral:rRNA from 1 species